GUGGGGAAUAUUGCACAAUGGGCGCAAGCCUGAUGCAGCAACGCCGCGUGAGGGACGACGGCCUUCGGGUUGUAAACCUCUUUUAGCAGGGAAGAAGCGAAAGUGACGGUACCUGCAGAAAAAGCACCGGCUAACUACGUGCCAGCAGCCGCGGUAAUACGUAGGGUGCAAGCGUUGUCCGGAAUUAUUGGGCGUAAAGAGCUCGUAGGCGGUUUGUCGCGUCUGAUGUGAAAACCCGAGGCUCAACCUCGGGCCUGCAGUGGGUACGGGCAGACUAGAGUGCGGUAGGGGAGAUUGGAAUUCCUGGUGUAGCGGUGGAAUGCGCAGAUAUCAGGAGGAACACCGAUGGCGAAGGCAGAUCUCUGGGCCGUAACUGACGCUGAGGAGCGAAAGCGUGGGGAGCGAACAGGAUUAGAAACCCCAGUAGUCC
rnacentral:rRNA from 1 species